AGAACUUGACAUCCCUCUGACAGAUCCUUAAUCGGAUUCUUCUUCGGACAGAGGAGACAGGUGGUGCAUGGUU
rnacentral:rRNA from 1 species